CACGAACGCUGGCGGUAGGCCUAACACAUGCAAGUCGAACGGUAGCACAGAGGAGCUUGCUCCUUGGGUGACGAGUGGCGGACGGGUGAGGAAUACAUCGGAAUCUACCCUGUCGUGGGGGAUAACGUAGGGAAACUUACGCUAAUACCGCAUACGAACUGAGGUUGAAAGCAGGGGACCGCAAGGCCUUGCGCGAUUGGAUGAGCCGAUGUCCGAUUAGCUAGUUGGUAAGGUAAAGGCUUACCAAGGCGACGAUCGGUAGCUGGUCUGAGAGGAUGAUCAGCAACACUGGAACUGAGACACGGUCCAGACUCCUACGGGAGGCAGCAGUGGGGAAUAUUGGACAAUGGGCGCAAGCCUGAUCCAGCCAUGCCGCGUGUGUGAAGAAGGCCUUCGGGUUGUAAAGCACUUUUGUUGGGAAAGAAAAGCGGUCGGUUAAUACCCGGUCGUACUGACGGUACCCAAAGAAUAAGCACCGGCUAACUUCGUGCCAGCCGCCGCAGUAAGAC
rnacentral:rRNA from 1 species